rnacentral:misc_RNA from 1 species
GAUGAAGAACGCAGCGAAAUGCGAUAAGUAAUGUGAAUUGCAGAAUUCAGUGAAUCAUCGAGUCUUUGAACGCACAUUGCGCCCCCUGGUAUUCCGGGGGGCAUGCCUGUCCGAGCGUCAUUGUCGCCCUCAAGCACGGCUUGUGUGUUGGGCCCCCGCCCCCCGGCUUCGGGGGGCGGGCCCGAAAGGCAGCGGCGGCACCGCGUCCGGUCCUCGAGCGUAUGGGGCUUCGUCACCCGCUCUGUAGGCCCGGCCGGCGCCCGCCGGCGACCCCAAUCAAUCUUUCCAGGUUGACCUCGGAUCAGGUAGGGAUACCCGCUGAACUUAAGCAUAUCAAUAAGCGGAGGA